AGCUUUGCGCAGUGGCGGUACCAUAGCCAAUGAGGAAAAUCCGAGGCGUGGUUAUUGCUAGUUGAAAACCGGGUUUCUCAUACUCCUGCGUAAAAGUGUUUUUUGUGAUUGAUUACUUUGAGAGGAGAAACCUUU